UACGUAGGGGGCAAGCGUUGUCCGGAUUUAUUGGGCGUAAAGAGCGUGUAGGCGGCCAGGUAGGUCUGCUGUGAAAACUCGAGGCUUAACCUCGAGCUGUCGGUGGAAACUGUCUGGCUAGAGUCCGGAAGAGGAGAAUGGAAUUCCUGGUGUAGCGGUGAAAUGCGCAGAUAUCAGGAAGAACACCCGUGGCGAAGGCGGUUCUCUGGGACGGUACUGACGCUGGAGACGCGAAAGCGUGGGGAGCGAACAGG
rnacentral:rRNA from 1 species